ensembl:lncRNA
AGGAAAUAUUCUAAACUAGUUUGCUUUCACAAUAUGGUUUCUUAGCAAAGAAUCUCAUUAUUUACACAGUGAUGACAUCAAUAUUGCCAUGUUCUGUUUUAAACUGUCACAUGGAACUCACUAACCAAUUGCCACACAGCCAAUGGAACUUCACAGAUCAUGCUGCACUCAUCUUUAUAUUUCUUAAGAUACUUUCAGGUGCACACAACAUAUGUCAACUGAAUUUUUAAGGAUCUUCACUUUCCCCAGUAAUUGGGGCAAAAUGACAAAAGACAGGAAUCAAGAUCUGACAGAGAUCUUCCUUCAUGAAGCUAUGGUUUCUCCAAGUGUGAGCAAGACAAGAAGGAGGACAUGAAAUGAGAACUGACAGAUAUCAGAAAAGAAUUGGAAAAAAAUAAACUUUUUUUACCAGAAGAAUUAAAUUCAAAGAAACCUAAUCAGAUAUGUAUAUCACAGAAGCCAAAGUAUGAAGAUAGCAGUAAAAUUUGAAAGACAACAUUUGGUAAUUCCUCAUGGAAUAAUUUUAUCAGGAAAUAAUAAAGAAUAAGUUUUUGAGUGAAUACUUCACGGGGAACUUCAAGAUGGGAACAUAAGGCUGUCAUCUCCUGAACAACAAUUGAAAUCUCAGAUUCACUAAAAGUGGAAAAAAAAAAAAUUUUGUUUCCUGAUGUGGAGCAAUAUGAACCUCAGAGGAGUAUCUCUAAAGUGUUCAUAUCAAAACUGUAAAUUAAAUAUCUGGAGCAAACUUCAAAUUUUAGCAAAUACAGAGAAGAGAGAAACAAGUUAAAUGACUUAAUCAGAGAACAAGAGGAAACACAAUGUGGGAUGUUCUAAAGGGCUAAAUAUCACAGGUUUCCACAUUAAGAAAAAAAAAAAUAGACCUAGAAUAUCUAACAACUAAAUGUGAUACAUGAACUCUGCUAAAAUCCUUACUAAAAAAAAAAUCAACUUUAAAUAACAGUUCUGAGAAAAUAAGGAAAAUGUGAUAACAGAACAACAGCAUCAUGGUUAUACGGAAAUAAAUUACCUAUGCCGUGAAAAGAUA